rnacentral:rRNA from 1 species
GACGAACGCUGGCGGCGUGCUUAACACAUGCAAGUCGAACGGAAAGGCCCUGCUUUUGUGGGGUGCUCGAGUGGCGAACGGGUGAGUAACACGUGAGUAACCUGCCCUUGACUUUGGGAUAACUUCAGGAAACUGGGGCUAAUACCGGAUAGGAGCUCCUGCUGCAUGGUGGGGGUUGGAAAGUUUCGGCGGUUGGGGAUGGACUCGCGGCUUAUCAGCUUGUUGGUGGGGUAGUGGCUUACCAAGGCUUUGACGGGUAGCCGGCCUGAGAGGGUGACCGGCCACAUUGGGACUGAGAUACGGCCCAGACUCCUUCGGGAGGCAGCAGUGGGGAAUAUUGCACAAUGGGCGGAAGCCUGAUGCAGCACCGCCGCGUGCGGGAUGACGGCCUUCGGGUUGUAAACCGCUUUCGCCUGUGACGAAGCGUGAGUGACGGUAAUGGGUAAAGAAGCACCGGCUAACUACGUG